GCCGUGGUCAGCCUCCCCAGACUUAGCGAUGCCUUCCUGGUAAUCUUUGGACUGAUAUAUGCACUACACCUCAGCUACCCCAAAGCACUGACCAACACUUUUGAAUUCACUGAAAAGAUUUUACUUGGUCUAGAAAGUGGUAAACUGUCACCCAGGUUGCAGACCCUCAAGAAUGACUUGUUGAUGUAAGUGACUGAUGGAGGAGGUGGAGAGGGAGGUGACUGAUGGAGGAGGAGAGGGAGGUGACUGAUGGAGGAGGUGGAGAGGGAGGAGGAGAGGGAGGUGACUGAUGGAGGAGGUGGAGAGGGAGGAUAAGAGGGAGGUGACUGAUGGAGGAGGAGAGGGAGGUGACUGAUGGAGGAGGUGGAGAGGGAGGAUAAGAGGGAGGUGACUGAUGGAGGAGGUGGAGAGGGAGGUGACUGAUGGAGGAGGUGGAGAGGGAGGUGACUGAUGGAGGAGGUGGAGAUGGAGGUGACUGAUGGAGGAGGUGGAGAUGGAGGUGACUGAUGGAGGAGGUGGAGAGGGAGGAGAAGAGGGAGGUGACUGAUGGAGGAGGUGGAGAGGGAGGUGACUGAUGGAGGAGGUGAGGGAGGUGACUGAUGGCGGAGGUGGAGAGGGAGGUGACUGAUGGCGGAGGUGGAGAGGGAGGUGACUGGAGGAGGAGAGGGAGGUGACUGAUGGAGGAGGUGGAGAGGGAGGUGACUGAUGGCGGAGGUGACUGAUGGAGGAGGAGAGAGGGAGGUGACUGAUGGAGGAGGUGGAGAGGGAGGUGACUGAUGGCGGAGGUGACUGAUGGAGGAGGAGAGAGGGAGGUGACUGAUGGAGGAGGAGAGGGAGGUGACUGAUGGAGGAGGUGGAGAGGGAGGUGACUGAUGGCAUAGGAGGAGAGAGGGAGGCUUUGAUUUAUUUUGAUUUAUAGAUGUUUAUUAUUUAUUUUUCUAUUUAAUUUUAAUAUUGCAGUGUGCUAAAAGG
ensembl:lncRNA